rnacentral:lncRNA from 1 species
AUGAUAUGGGGAGUCCCUGUGACUUUUUUAUUUUUGCUCUGCACAGCUCCUGGCCUCGUCUCAGCUGCAUUGGACUGCACGAUGAAUGAUCUGUCCAAGGCUUCCUGGCGGCUGGGGGCAAAUCCAGGCGAGACGACUCUGGGCUCCAGGAGGGCUGCCUUGGUGAAGCAGGCUCUGCCCGGCACAGCGAGCGAGGAGAGGGACGCAGACCCAGCAUGUGCACGCAUCCAGCCCCACGUGUGUUUGGCGCAAGCUCUCCAGGUGUUCCCAGACUUCUCUGCCACAUGUUUUUUGGAGCCUCCCUUCUGGUACCCGUGGCCUCCUGGCAAUCUCACAGGAGAUUGUCCUUCAGGUGCUGAAUGGCUGGGAUAUGCCCCCUGGGGAAGACCGCACAUGAGGUGUGGGAGCUGGCUCCGUGGUCUGGAUCCCAACCUGAAUGAUGCUGGAGAAGAGACCUCAGAACCACUGUCAGCACCUGCACCACAGCUGGGCAGUGGUGCUGAGCCCCCAGCGCUGCUCCUCCUGUGUUCUCGCCUUUGCCAAGGACCUGAUGACUUCGUCGUUGCUGCCAUCCCAAGGACAGGCUGCCAGAAGAUGCUGCAGGCACCGGAGGAUGCAUCCCAGAAGCAUGGGGGUGGCCUGUUGCUGAGGCUGCAGCAAAGCUUCCUGACCCCUGAUUUCCCCAGGCCACUGCCAACAGAGGGUUCUCUGUGAGAAGCACAGAGCGAAGUCGAGGGACUGCCAAAGCAGAGGAAAACAAGGCCAAGCGCACACAGAUGGUGAGCCCACAAAUUUAAUUUAAAAUCAUCCUUUAUUAUUCAAAAUAUUAAAAUUCAGGCAAUAAUGCCCAAAGGAACUGCACUGAUUAAAGUUCCCUAAUGUUUCAUGGCCAAAUCUUGCUGCUUCUUCCAAGGGUCACUGGGACAAGAAGUGAAACCCCUCUGGAGUGCAGAGAGAGGCAGGGCUGUACCUGCUGUAGAUCGUUUACCCAAACAGUUACUUACUGACCCAAUCAGCUUCACUUAAAGCAAAGCACCAGCUGUUCCUUACCCAAUUAAUGAUUGCCACAGCAAAUUAACAUGGCGUUACACCAGGCGUGGAUGUGGUCCGCAGAGUCCGGAAUGCACAGAGCAAUAUGCUAUUGCAAAAAUAAUCACAGUAAUAUCUUUACUGUUAGGUAGCAUCCUUCAUCUGGAAGGAUCGCAAGCUCCCUGUGUGCUAUAUGGCUCACUUCGUGCAACGUGCUCUGCAGUGAGGGUGCGGAGGGCAGGAAGGAGGGUAGGUGGGGUACGUGGUUGCUGUUUCAAGGCAGAAUAAGAGGAACAGCCAGGGCAGCUCUACUGUGGUAGAGGCAGCAUUGACCACACACGUCCAGGUCUUGGUUCCUGCAAUCCAAACAAAUUGUUAUUUCAUUGGUUGUAAAUCUGCUGGACUCAAAAUGUACCUUGAUCAUGCACCACGGACCUCUUUGAUGCCUCUCCCCUGUUGUGUGAUGUGACAGUUUGAUAGCACAGGGCUGUUGCAGGGAUUUUUGGGCCCUGGUCAGGGUCACAGUUCAGUGUCAGAGCCAUUCUGCUCUGGGAUGUGGCAGAUGUGGCAAGCACAGAGCCAGAUGGCCAGCUGCAGUGAGCACCCCUGGGUGGGAAGAGGCCACAAUGCUGGGCUGCAGAUGUGGGAAAGCCAAGCAUUGCCUCCCUGCUGAGCAUCCCCAGGUCAAGUGCUGCCUCUACAAUUCCUUCCUUGGUCCCUCUGUGCUGUGGGGCACACACACAGGCUGCCCCUCGCCCUGUCCCUCUGUGGUGGUUCUGCAUCGUGGGAGCCCAACAGCAGCAGAGCAGAGUAACUGAGCCAGUCUCUUCUUCCAUCAAAGUCCAGUUUACACAAAGGUUAAAUCUAGUUCCUAAAUACUCAUCACAGUUUUGGCUCUGCUAUGAGCCUGUGCCUUUUAUGACCCAGACACAUUAACCCCCUUUAAGUUACAGUCCGGAUAGAUCAAUCAGCCUAGAGGGCUUUGGGACAAAGGUAUCUGGUGUUGAAGCAUUAAACUUUCCAAUUUUCCCACAAUUAAGCCACCAUCAAAUAUUAUUGACAAAUAAAGCAUGCCAUCAAAGCCCCGAGCUGCCGCCU